AUUGAACGCUGGCGGCAUGCCUUACACAUGCAAGUCGAACGGCAGCACGGGGCAACCUGGUGGCGAGUGGCGAACGGGUGAGUAAAGUAUCGGAACGUACCAUUCAGUGGGGGAUAACGUAGCGAAAGUUACGCUAAUACCGCAUAUUCUGCGAGCAGGAAAGCAGGGGAUCGCAAGACCUUGCGCUGAUUGAGCGGCCGAUAUCAGAUUAGCUAGUUGGUGAGGUAAAGGCUCACCAAGGCGACGGUCUGUAGCGGGUCUGAGAGGAUGAUCCGCCACACUGGAACUGAGACACGGACCAGACUCCCACGGGAGGCAGCAGUGGGCAAUUUGGGACAAUGGGGGCAACCCUGAUCCAGCCAUGCGGCGUGAGUGAAGAAGGCCUUCGGGUUGUAAAGCUCUUUCGGCCGGGAAGAAAUCGCAUGGGCUAAUACCCUGUGUGGAUGACGGUACCAGAAUAAGAAGCACCGGCUAACUACGUGCCAGCAGCCGCCGUAACAC
rnacentral:rRNA from 1 species